AACAUGUGUUCAUUGGAUGAUAAAAGAAAAACUGAAUUAUUAUUUAUUUCCAAAUACGUCAAAUUAAACACCACUAGUACUACUGCUAUUGAUAACAACAUGCUUUGCAUUUUCUCCACUCACAAUCUAUAUUCAUCACCUUCACUCACUGCGACUGCAUGGGCCUCAUCUAAAAGAGUUCACAUGGAGCCUUUUGCAGUCGCAGUAAUUUGGUGAACAAGCUACAACUUAAGGUAAUCAGUCAGGGUCCAUUUAAUGGAUUUUAGAUACAGUAAGAAACCUUUUAAUAACCCCAUGCAGCAUGCAAGAAAGGUUUGAUGAGCACUAUCCCUUAUACUGUAUGAAUGGAUUAAAUGAAGUGUGUUGCAGUCUCUUACUAUGUGACCUGUAUCUCUCCCAGCUCGGGGCUCCAUCAUGAAGCCGGCUGCACUGCUCCUCCUGCUGGCAGUUGCUGCCAGCCAGGUCGACCUCAAUCUGUCUGAAACGACCGACAUCAGCUCGUGUCCCAUCAGCUUUUAUGGACGCAGUUACACAUUCCUGGAUGUGACCAUCAAUUCAUCUGUUUCAAUGUGUUUUAAAAAUAACCAAUCUGACACCGCACAAGACUGUCUGAAGUUGGAAGAUGGAGAAGGUAUAAAAGACGUUAGAAUGAGGCCAAUUAGUGUGCCAACC